UACAGAGGUGGCAAGCGUUGUUCGGAAUUACUGGGCGUAAAGGGCGCGUAGGCGGCAAUUCAAGUCAGCUGUGAAAUCUCCAAGCUUAACUUGGAACGGUCAGCUGAUACUGAUGUGCUAGAGUGCAGAAGGGGCAAUCGGAAUUCUUGGUGUAGCGGUGAAAUGCGUAGAUAUCAAGAGGAACACCUGAGGUGAAGACGGGUUGCUGGGCUGACACUGACGCUGAGGCGCGAAAGCUAGGGUAGCAAACGGG
rnacentral:rRNA from 1 species